GAAGAGCGGCGAACGGGUGAGUAACGCGUGGGAAAUCUGCCGAGUAGCGGGGGACAACGUUUGGAAACGAACGCUAAUACCGCAUAACAAUGAGAAUCGCAUGAUUCUUAUUUGAAAGAAGCAAUUGCUUCACUACUUGAUGAUCCCGCGUUGUAUUAGCUAGUUGGUAGUGUAAAGGACUACCAAGGCGAUGAUACAUAGCCGACCUGAGAGGGUGAUCGGCCACACUGGGACUGAGACACGGCCCAGACUCCUACGGGAGGCAGCAGUAGGGAAUCUUCGGCAAUGGGGGCAACCCUGACCGAGCAACGCCGCGUGAGUGAAGAAGGUUUUCGGAUCGUAAAACUCUGUUGUUAGAGAAGAACGUUAAGUAGAGUGGAAAAUUACUUAAGUGACGGUAUCUAACCAGAAAGGGACGGCUAACUACGUGCCAGCAGCC
rnacentral:rRNA from 1 species